UGCCAGCCGCCGCGGUAACACGGGGGGCGCAAGCGUUAUUCGGAAUUAUUGGGCGUAAAGGGCGCGCAGGCGGUCUUGUCCGUCAGGUGUGAAAGCUCGGGGCUCAACCCCGGAAGUGCACUUGAAACAGCAAAACUUGAGAUCGGAAGAGGAAAGCGGAAUUUCUAGUGUAGAGGUGAAAUUCGUAGAUAUUAGAAGGAACAUCAGAGGCGAAGGCGGCUUUCUGGUCCGAUACUGACGCUGAGGUACGAAAGCGUGGGGAGCAAACAGGAUUAGAUA
rnacentral:rRNA from 1 species